CAGAAGUUCUGCAAGAUGACCUGGGAAUAAAGUUGGCCAAGAAGCCUCCGAGGGGAGAUCGGCGUGUGAGGUGGAGAGCCCCGCGUCUACAUGAGGUGUGAGAUCCCAACAGGUUGACAAUGGAAGCAGAGCUGAGAAUCCGGUCAUCUUAUAUUAAGCCAGAUGCUAAAAAGCAAUGGACUCAGGCUGGUCUCCAACUCCUGACCUUAG
rnacentral:lncRNA from 1 species